GCCGUUUGUUUUUACUCUAGUUCUUUGACAGCAGUGGCUCCAGUUUGAUGCUUGGACUUCACACAAUGGAGGUUUUUACAACUUGGAUGUUCUGUUUAAUUGUUGUCGCAGCACACUGGGCAAAUGCAGGAUAUGUUGGAUUUGAAGGCCUCCCCAGACCUAAUUUUCCCAAACCAGGGAUACUGUUACAAAGGAAGUCUUGGCCUCCUGCACUGGUGGAAGAUCAG